GGUUAAGCGACUGAGCGUACACGGUGGAUGCCCUGGCAGUCAGAGGCGAUGAAGGACGUGCUAAUCUGCGAUAAGCGUCGGUAAGGUGAUAUGAACCGUUAUAACCGGCGAUUUCCGAAUGGGGAAACCCAGUGUGUUUCGACACACUAUCAUUAACUGAAUCCAUAGGUUAAUGAGGCGAACCGGGGGAACUGAAACAUCUAAGUACCCCGAGGAAAAGAAAUCAACCGAGAUUCCCCCAGUAGCGGCGAGCGAACGGGGAGGAGCCCAGAGCCUGAAUCAGUGUGUGUGUUAGUGGAAGCGUCUGGAAAGGCGCGCGAUACAGGGUGACAGCCCCGUACACAAAAAUACACAUAUUGUGAGCUCGAUGAGUAGGGCGGGACACGUGGUAUCCUGUCUGAAUAUGGGGGGACCAUCCUCCAAGGCUAAAUACUCCUGACUGACCGAUAGUGAACCAGUACCGUGAGGGAAAGGCGAAAAGAACCCCGGCGAGGGGAGUGAAAAAGAACCUGAAACCGUGUACGUACAAGCAGUGGGAGCACGCUUAGGCGUGUGACUGCGUACCUUUUGUAUAAUGGGUCAGCGACUUAUAUUCUGUAGCAAGGUUAACCGAAUAGGGGAGCCGAAGGGAAACCGAGUCUUAACUGGGCGUUAAGUUGCAGGGUAUAGACCCGAAACCCGGUGAUCUAGCCAUGGGCAGGUUGAAGGUUGGGUAACACUAACUGGAGGACCGAACCGACUAAUGUUGAAAAAUUAGCGGAUGACUUGUGGCUGGGGGUGAAAGGCCAAUCAAACCGGGAGAUAGCUGGUUCUCCCCGAAAGCUAUUUAGGUAGCGCCUCGUGAAUUCAUCUCCGGGGGUAGAGCACUGUUUCGGCAAGGGGGUCAUCCCGACUUACCAACCCGAUGCAAACUGCGAAUACCGGAGAAUGUUAUCACGGGAGACACACGGCGGGUGCUAACGUCCGUCGUGAAGAGGGAAACAACCCAGACCGCCAGCUAAGGUCCCAAAGUCAUGGUUAAGUGGGAAACGAUGUGGGAAGGCCCAGACAGCCAGGAUGUUGGCUUAGAAGCAGCCAUCAUUUAAAGAAAGCGUAAUAGCUCACUGGUCGAGUCGGCCUGCGCGGAAGAUGUAACGGGGCUAAACCAUGCACCGAAGCUGCGGCAGCGACGCUUAUGCGUUGUUGGGUAGGGGAGCGUUCUGUAAGCCUGUGAAGGUGUGCUGUGAGGCAUGCUGGAGGUAUCAGAAGUGCGAAUGCUGACAUAAGUAACGAUAAAGCGGGUGAAAAGCCCGCUCGCCGGAAGACCAAGGGUUCCUGUCCAACGUUAAUCGGGGCAGGGUGAGUCGACCCCUAAGGCGAGGCCGAAAGGCGUAGUCGAUGGGAAAC
rnacentral:rRNA from 1 species